CAGCAGCCGCGGUAAUACGUAGGUGGCAAGCGUUGUCCGGAAUUAUUGGGCGUAAAGGGCUCGCAGGCGGUUUCUUAAGUCUGAUGUGAAAGCCCCCGGCUCAACCGGGGAGGGUCAUUGGAAACUGGGAAAUUUGAGUGCAGAAGAGGAGAGUGGAAUUCCACGUGUAGCGGUGAAAUGCGUAGAGAUGUGGAGGAACACCAGUGGCGAAGGCGACUCUCUGGUCUGUAACUGACGCUGAGGAGCGAAAGCGUGGGGAGCGAACAGGAUUAGAUACCCCCGUAGUCCCUGUCUCUUAUAC
rnacentral:rRNA from 1 species